rnacentral:rRNA from 1 species
AACGCAUUAAGUUCCCCGCCUGGGGAGUACGGCCGCAAGGCUAAAACUCAAAGGAAUUGACGGGGACCCGCACAAGCGGCGGAGCAUGCGGAUUAAUUCGAUGCAACGCGAAGAACCUUACCAAGGCUUGACAUAUAGAGGAAACGUCUGGAAACAGUCGCCCCGCAAGGUCUCUAUACAGGUGGUGCAUGGUUGUCGUCAGCUCGUGUCGUGAGAUGUUGGGUUAAGUCCCGCAACGAGCGCAACCCUCGUUCUAUGUUGCCAGCACGUAAUGGUGGGAACUCAUGGGAUACUGCCGGGGUCAACUCGGAGGAAGGUGGGGAUGACGUCAAAUCAUCAUGCCCCUUAUGUCUUGGGCUUCACGCAUGCUACAAUGGCCGGUACAAAGUGCUGCAAUACCGUAAGGUGGAGCGAAUCCCAAAAAGCCGGUCCCAGUUCGGAUUGAGGUCUGCAACUCGACCUCAUGAAGUCGGAGUCGCUAGUAAUCGCAGAUCAGCAACGCUGCGGUGAAUACGUUCCCGGGUCUUGUACACACCGCCCGUCAAGUCAUGAAAGUCGGUAACACCUGAAGCCGGUGGCCCAACCCUUGUGGAGGGAGCCGUCGAAGGUGGGAUCGG